rnacentral:rRNA from 1 species
UACGGGGGGGGCAAGCGUUGUUCGGAAUUACUGGGCGUAAAGGGUUCGUAGGCGGCCAACUAAGUCAGACGUGAAAUCCCUCGGCUUAACCGGGGAACUGCGUCUGAUACUGGAUGGCUUGGAUCCGGGAGAGGGAUGCGGAAUUCCAGGUGUAGCGGUGAAAUGCGUAGAUAUCUGGAGGAACACCGGUGGCGAAGGCGGCAUCCUGGACCGGUAUUGACGCUGAGGAGCGAAAGCCAGGGGAGCAAACGGG